rnacentral:rRNA from 1 species
AUUGAACGCUGGCGGCAUGCCUUACACAUGCAAGUCGAACGGUAACGGGCCUUCGGGUGCCGACGAGUGGCGAACGGGUGCGUAAUACAUCGGAACGUGCCCGAUCGUGGGGGAUAACGAGGCGAAAGCUUUGCUAAUACCGCAUACGAUCUACGGAUGAAAGCAGGGGACCGCAAGGCCUUGCGCGGACGGAGCGGCCGAUGGCAGAUUAGGUAGUUGGUGGGAUAAAAGCUUACCAAGCCGACGAUCUGUAGCUGGUCUGAGAGGAUGAUCAGCCGCACUGGGACUGAGACACGGCCCAGACUCCUACGGGAGGCAGCAGUGGGGAAUUUUGGACAAUGGGCGCAAGCCUGAUCCAGCCAUGCCGCGUGCAGGAUGAAGGCCUUCGGGUUGUAAACUGCUUUUGUACGGAACGAAAAGCCUUCUUUUAAUACAGGAGGGUCAUGACGGUACCGUAAGAAUAAGCACCGGCUAACUACGUG